rnacentral:misc_RNA from 1 species
ACGAAGGUCUCUCUCUCAACGCACAACUUCACUCAUUUCUUUCUCGAAUCACUCUCUUUCUCCCUCUUCCCGAACUUGUAGGAUUUCCUGUCAAACAUUCUCCUCGCCGGAGAAGGAAAUAAACGUCGUCGGUGUUCAGGUUGAUUGAAGGUUCUACGUUUGAUCCGUUCAAUUCUUUUGGCUCCAAGUUGUAGUUGAAACAAAUCGGAAAUGGCUUCUCAACCGAAGAAUGUUGGAAUUCUCGCUAUGGAGAUUUACUUUCCUCCUACUUGUCUUCAGCAGGAAGUAUUGGAGGCUCAUGAUGGAGCAAGCAAAGGCAAGUAUACAAUUGGUCUUGGACAAGAUUGCAUGGGCUUUUGCACUGAGGUUGAAGAUGUUAUAUCAAUGAGUUUGACAGCUGUGAAUUCCCUACUGGAGAAGUAUUCUGUUGAUCCAAAGCAAAUUGGUCGACUAGAGGUUGGAAGUGAAACUGUUAUUGAUAAGAGCAAAUCUAUCAAGACAUUCUUAAUGGAAAUAUUUGAGAAACAUGGAAAUACUGACAUUGAAGGAGUUGACUCAACUAAUGCCUGUUAUGGGGGAACUGCUGCAUUGUUCAACUGUGUAAAUUGGGUGGAGAGUGCUUCAUGGGAUGGACGCUAUGGUCUUGUAGUAUGCACGGAUAGCGCGGUCUAUGCGGAGGGGCCUGCUCGGCCUACUGGAGGAGCUGCAGCCAUUGCUAUGCUUGUUGGGCCUGAUGCUCCUAUAGUAUUUGAAAGCAAGAUCAGGGCUAGCCAUAUGUCCCAUGUCUAUGAUUUUUACAAGCCCAUCCUUGACAGUGAAUAUCCAGUGGUUGAUGGUAAGCUUUCACAAACCUGUUAUCUAAUGGCACUUGAUGCUUGCUACAAGAGUUUAUGCAACAAAUAUGAGAAAUUGGAAGGCAAGCAAUUUUCAAUGUCGGAUGCAGCCUACUUUGUGUUCCAUUCACCAUACAACAAGCUUGUGCAGAAGAGCUUUAGUCGGUUGCUGUUCAAUGAUUUUCUAAGGAAUGCUAGCUCUAUUGAUGAGUCUGCCAAAAAAAUCCUGGCCCCCUUUGAAUCCUUGACCGGUGAUGAAAGCUACCAGAGCCGUGAUCUUGAGAAGGCAUCCCAACAACUUGCUAAACCACUUUAUGAUGAGAAGGUGCAACCUACCACAUUGAUACCAAAACAAGUUGGCAACAUGUACACCGCAUCUCUUUAUGCUGCUUUUGCAUCCCUCCUUCACAAUAAGCAUAACACAUUGGCUGGUCAGCGGGUAAUCAUGUUUUCUUAUGGGAGUGGAUUGACUGCAACUAUGUUUUCGCUAAAGUUUAACGAAGGUCAACAUCCUUUUAGUUUGUCAAACAUUGCAAGCGUGAUGAAUGUCACAGAGAAGUUAGAAUCGAGACAUGAGUUCACUCCUGAAAAAUUCAUCGAAAUAUUGAAACUAAUGGAGCAUAGAUAUGGUGCCAAGGACUUCGUGACCAGCAAGGAUUGCAGCCUUCUUGCACCAGGAACCUACUACCUAACAGAAGUUGAUUCCAAGUACAGAAGAUUUUAUGCAAAGAAGGCUCAGGAGAAUGGGCUGGUCAACGGACACUAGGACAGCAAACACGGUCCUUGUUGCACGGUGUAAGGCCAUAUAGUAGGCGACUCGUGCUGUUUAAGUUAUUGUUAGCGCAUAGAAGAAUAACUAGUGCUCUGGCAGAUUCGAUUGUUAUUACAUGUAGUUUCUUUCCAGAGUAGUAGAUGUAGAUCCUAUGCCUUUUUUCUUUCUUUUUUCAGUUCCUGACGAGUUCUAAUGUUGUGCAUCUCCUCUGUCUUCACCUGUAUGUGAAAUGAUUGUAAAAGUCGUCAACCUAGUCUUUUGUCGAAAUUCAUUUCUCAUCUACAAUAAACUGAUGUAUU